UCCAACUCAUACAGCUAUUAAACAUGAGCAA
rnacentral:piRNA from 1 species